rnacentral:lncRNA from 1 species
CAGGUGGAACCAGCUGGACCUGGCUAUUGUGCUUCUGUCCAUCAUGGGCAUCACACUGGAGGAGAUUGAGGUCAAUGCUUCGCUGCCCAUCAACCCCACCAUCAUCCGUAUCAUGAGGGUGCUCCGCAUUGCUCGAGCUCUGGGCGUGGAGCUCUUUGGAGACCUGGAGUGUGAUGAGACACACCCUUGUGAGGGCUUGGGUCGGCAUGCCACCUUUAGGAACUUUGGUAUGGCCUUUCUGACCCUCUUCCGAGUCUCCACUGGUGACAACUGGAAUGGUAUUAUGAAGGACACCCUCCGGGACUGUGACCAGGAGUCCACCUGC